GAUGAACGCUGGCGGCGUGCCUAAUACAUGCAAGUCGAGCGGAGCGGGGACGGGUGAGUAACACGUGGGUGACCUCCUAUAAGACUGGGAUAACUUCGGGAAACCGUAGCUAAACCGGAUACUGAUCGCUGGAUCCGCGCUGCAUUAGCUGGUUGGUAAGGUAACGGCUUACCAAGGCAACGAUGCCUAGCCGACCUGAGAGGGGGAUCGGCCACACUGGAACUGAUACACGGGCCAGACUCCUACGGGAGGCAGCAGUAGGGAAUAGUCCGCAAUGGGCGAAAGCCUGACGCAGCAAGGCCGCGUGAGUGAUGAAGGUCUUCGGAGCGUAAAACUCGGUUAUUAGGGAAGCGGUACCUAAACAGAAAGCCACGGCUAACUACGUGCCAGCAGCCGCGGUAAUAC
rnacentral:rRNA from 1 species